GAUGAACGCUGGCGGCGUGCCUAAUACAUGCAAGUCGAGCGAACAGACGAGGAGCUUGCUCCUCUGACGUUAGCGGCGGACGGGUGAGUAACACGUGGAUAACCUACCUAUAAGACUGGGAUAACUUCGGGAAACCGGAGCUAAUACCGGAUAAUAUAUUGAACCGCAUGGUUCAAUAGUGAAAGGCGGUUUUGCUGUCACUUAUAGAUGGAUCCGCGCCGCAUUAGCUAGUUGGUAAGGUAACGGCUUACCAAGGCAACGAUGCGUAGCCGACCUGAGAGGGUGAUCGGCCACACUGGAACUGAGACACGGUCCAGACUCCUACGGGAGGCAGCAGUAGGGAAUCUUCCGCAAUGGGCGAAAGCCUGACGGAGCAACGCCGCGUGAGUGAUGAAGGUCUUCGGAUCGUAAAACUCUGUUAUUAGGGAAGAACAAAUGUGUAAGUAACUGUGCACGUCUUGACGGUACCUAAUCAGAAAGCCACGGCUAACUACGUG
rnacentral:rRNA from 1 species